UUCUACGGCCACACCACCCUGAACAAGCCCAAUCCUGUCUGAUCUCGGAAGCUAAGCAAGGUCGGGCCUGGUUAGUACUUGGAUGGGAGACCACCUAGGAAGACCAGGUGCUGUAGGCG
rnacentral:rRNA from 1 species